UGAUCUUUCAGCCUCAAAGACUACAAGGAU
rnacentral:piRNA from 1 species